rnacentral:rRNA from 1 species
UGGGGAAUUUUGCACAAUGGGGGAAACCCUGAUGCAGCGACGCCGCGUGAUUUAGAAGGCCUUCGGGUUGUAAAAAUCUUUUCUAUGGGAAGAAAAUGACAGUACCAUAGGAAUAAGGACCGGCUAAUUACGUGCCAGCAGCCGCGGUAAUACGUAAGGUCCGAGCGUUGUCCGGAAUCAUUGGGCGUAAAGGGUACGUAGGCGGGUAAGCAAGUUAGAAGUGAAAUCCUGUAGCUCAACUACAGUAAGCUUUUAAAACUGCUCAUCUUGAGAUAUUGAAGGGAAAGUGGAAUUCCUAGUGUAGCGGUGAAAUGCGCAGAUAUUAGGAGGAAUACCGGUGGCGAAGGCGACUUUCUGGCCAUAAUCUGACGCUGAGGUACGAAAGCGUGGGUAGCAAACAGG